GAUGAACGCUGGCGGCGUGCCUAAUACAUGCAAGUCGAGCGAACAGAUGAGGAGCUUGCUCCUCUGACGUUAGCGGCGGACGGGUGAGUAACACGUGGAUAACCUACCUAUAAGACUGGGAUAACUACGGGAAACCGGAUCUAAUACCGGAUAAUAUAUUGAACCGCAUGGUUCAAUAGUGAAAGACGGUUGUGCGGUCACUUAUAGAUGGAUCCGCGCCGCAUUAGCUAGUUGGUAAGGUAACGGCUUACCAAGGCAACGAUGCGUAGCCGACCUGAGGGGGUGAUCGGCCACACUGGAACUGAGACACGGUCCAGACUCCUACGGGAGGCAGCAGUAGGGAAUCUUCCGCAAUGGGCGAAAGCCUGACGGAGCAACGCCGCGUGAGUGAUGAAGGUCUUCGGAUCGUAAAACUCUGUUAUUAGGGAAGAACAAAUGUGUAAGUAACUAUGCACGUCUUGACGGUACCUAAUCAGAAAGCCACGGCUAACUACGUG
rnacentral:rRNA from 1 species